CCUACGGGUGGCUGCAGUGAGGAAUAUUGGUCAAUGGACGAGAGUCUGAACCAGCCAAGUCGCGUGAAGGAUGAAUGUCCUGUGGGUCGUAAACCUCUUUUAUAAGGGAACAAAGCGUGGCACGUGUCCGCUUUUGUGUGUACCUUAAGAAUAAGGAUCGGCUAACUCCGUGCCAGCAGCCGCGGUAAUACGGAGGAUCCGAGCGUUAUCCGGAUUUAUUGGGUUUAAAGGGUGCGCAGGGGGGCUGUUAAGUCAGCUGUCAAAGGCUGGGGCUCAACCGUAAACUUGCAGUUGAAACUGGCAGUCUCGAGUAGGAGAGAAGUAGGCGGAAUGCGCGGUGUAGCGGUGAAAUGCAUAGAUAUCGCGCAGAACUCCGAUUGCGAAGGCAGUACGCCGGAUCCAAACUGACGCUGAGGCACGAAAGUGUGGGUAUCGAACAGGAUUAGAUACCCUAGUAGUC
rnacentral:rRNA from 1 species